rnacentral:rRNA from 1 species
UACGUAGGUGGCAAGCGUUGUCCGGAUUUACUGGGUGUAAAGGGUGCGCAGGCGGGACUGCAAGUUGGAUGUGAAAUGUCGGGGCUUAACCCCGGAACUGCAUCCAAAACUGUGGAUCUUGAGUGAAGUAGAGGUAAGCGGAAUUCCGAGUGUAGCGGUGAAAUGCGUAGAUAUUCGGAGGAACACCAGUGGCGAAGGCGGCUUACUGGGCUUUAACUGACGCUGAGGCACGAAAGCAUGGGGAGCAAACAGG